GCUAUGUCUGGAACCAUGUUGCCCGGCCAGGGCCUCUGCAACUCCUCUUCAUGCCGCCUCCGAGUCUCCCAUGCUGUCUGAGCAGCCAGUGCCGCCAUUCUUGAGAGGGCCUCAAGUUUCGCCCAGAAGAGCUCGAAGACGGCAUCCCCGGAAUGCCAGAGGUGAGUUGGGUGCAUUGGCCAUCUUGUGUAGCCAGGUCACGGAUCAGGAGCGUUGCUACUCACUCAGGUAUAUCUUUGCAGGAGCUGUGUUUGCAACCCCAGCAGGGAAUGGGAUAACCCCUGCCGGUCCAAAGGGGGAGAAACGUGGCCCAG